GAUGGCCAGACUGAAACCAAACUUCAUUCCACCCUGUCAUAUUGCAGUUUCUGCUGGAUAACUCGCAUCAAGAUGACAGGGUAGAAAGUGUUUAGGACAGAGAAAGUUAAGCAAGCAACUUAACUAUUGUAUUCUGUUGAACAGAUGCUUUUUGUUGUACCCACAUACAUGGCUAUAGCCAUCACUUCAGUAGGACCAGAAAACAGAGGGAUAUAAGGUCGGGUAGGAGAAAGGGAAAAUGGAAAAUAGGGCAUCUGGGGGUGGCACCUAAGCAACCUUUCCUCUUCAAUGUUGAAUACAAUCUAUGUAAAUGACUUCAAGUAUGUCUGACCUUUUGUAGGAAGGUAACAUUUUUGACCCUGGUCAUGUACCCAGUGGUUCUUUGCCACGUUUCUUUUUAGUAGGAACUGUUCUUCAAUGCAGAUAUUGUCUCCUUGAUUGUGUACACAUUGUGAACAAAAUCCUAUUUUUAAAAGCCUAUUUUCCUCAUUCCUGAAACCUCCUAACCCGGUUGACUUGUUGGAGUGCAUUUCAUGCAUUCUUAGUAACAAGGUUGAAGGAAACGCCUAGUUCAGUCACAGCUAGGGAGUUCAUGCACACUCCCUGCAUUCUGCUGCAAAGUGCACAUGUCCAUGCUGGGAAAGGAUCACAGACUUCACUGAAUGCCACAGCAUGACUGUUCAGAGUGUUGAUAGUCUCCCAGUGUGGAUCAACUGAAGGCAGUAAAAUAAGGCACGGCUAGUUACUGAAGAUGGAAGCAGAAAGGAAAAACUCUCCAACACUGAGUAAAAGCAAACAGCCUGUGAAAACAGAAUGGGGGUCUCAGAGUGUUGUAUUUACUUACUUUCAAGGGGACCUUAACAGUGUGAUAGAUGAACACUUUUCUAGAGCAUUAAGCAAUGCCAAGAACCCACAAGAUCUGAGCACAAAGCACAAGAGUGAGGACGUUAUCCUGAAGAAUGAUAGCCACAUGUCUCCCCAUCAGUGGAAUUUCUCUUCUCAUUGGACAAAGUCAUAUCAAUCAUCUCCUGCUACAAACCUAUCAAAUUCUGAUCUGAAUUUGUUGGCUGCUGCUACAGACCACCAUCAGGCAUCAGUUCUGCGGAAUCCUCCUAUUCAGCCUGCAGAUUUGUGGCACUUCCCUUCGAUAGCUAAUCCAAGUCUUACUGAUUCAGGAUAUCCUCGCUCCUUGCCUGACCCUCCUAUGGUGCAGGGACCAAUGUCUGACGGGAAAUAUGGUUCUCUUCUUGAUUUUCUGCAACAGGAAAGGUGCCCAGCAUCUAGCCAGGAAUCUACCGUGAAGCAAAGCUCUAGCUCAGCCUGUAUUACUGGAUCAGCUAGGUUACAAAAUAUGAGUCAAAGUUUAACUCCCGGGGGAGGUUCUUUCAAAAAAGCGGGCUAUACAGAAGUUUCUCUCACAAAAUUUCUCUCUUAUUACAAGACUGACUUGAUUUGCAAGAGAGAGAUACGUAUUCAGUUGACCCUUUACAUAGAAACCCCAUGUGUUUAGCACAAUAAGCAAUACACAUUAAUCAAUAUCACACCCCAAUAAUGUCCCUUUUAUAGCAAGCUAAAAUGAUACAAGAGACAAGGUCAUAAGUUAACAAUUCAAAGCCCGUGGCUGGAAGUAUUUUUAACGGAGCAUCAAUUAUAUGUACUGUAGUACUUGGGAAUUGUGUAUUGGCUGCAUAGUGUAGCACCAUAAUUGUUUCCUCGAAAGUUUCUUGCAUAGCUCUUUCCCCUCUGUUAUGUUGAGGAGAUACCAAAUAUAUAAGUAAGCUAUAAUAUAUUCAGAACACACACAAAUGAUUGUGCGCCCCUACCUCUUAGAUACCACUUUUCACCAGUAGACCCCAAAGUGGGUAACAAACAGCUGGGUGUGCGCUGGGUGCUCAGAGUCUGGCUAUAAAUGGAGUGGAAUGUUUAGAUAUUAUUUGAGCAAUCUGACACUUGUGAUUUCAGUUACUGUAUAUGGGGUAUAAUUAAUGCUUAUACAGCACCCAUUAAAAAAAUGUCCAUGUGCCUAACUUUUUUCCCUUCCCCAGUUUCUGCUUGUUACAACAACAAUUGGGGUAAAAGGCUGGUUCUUGAGCCAUGCUUGUCUCCCAGCCAGACCCAGGAAAUGGCACUAAUAUUCACUUCAAACACUACUGAAUAAAUAUUUAACAUGAUGUUCAGUACACUCUAUAGACAGGGUAUAAUUCACACUAUGGCUAUAACCGUUCCUUUCUGAAAGGGGUUAAGGUAGUCCAGGGGUUAAGACACUAGGAUUUAGAAGACCUGGGUUCAAGUCCCUGCUCUGCCACAGCCUUCUUGUGACACCUUGGACAAGUCACUUAGUCUCUCUGUCCCUAUCUGUAAAAUGGGGUUGAUAGCACUGCUACGCUCCCAGAGCGGACAUGAGGAUAAAUACAUGAAAGACACUGAGGCACUCCAAUGCUAUGGUGAUGGGGGCCAGAGACGUAUGACAGAACAGCUUCAGACAAACUCAGCCAACAGAGAAAUCUGGUAGUUAGUUAUUUGUAACAUGGUUGCAACCAUAGGUGAUCCCAUUCAGAUAGGCACCAGUCACUGAACAAAAAGAUGAUCCCUGCCCUAAGGAGCUUAGUGACUAAAAUUUACACCAUUCAGGGACCCAUGAGAGAUGAGUUUAGUCCAUUUUCCUAGCGCCCACGUCGCAAAAUCAGCCACUGCAGUUGGGACUAAUUGGCACCAUUAUUAGUCUGUCCCACCUAGGACUGAACAGACAUGGACACUAAAGUUCUCCCCUUAAUGUCCCUCCAGGCUAGGUUGGACACACUGGUGGGGAUGCUGGCACUGCUGCUACCUAUGCCAUCCCUGUUCUCUGGGUUAAUACAGGACUCCUCUAGCCAGGGCUGUCAACCUGGCCCUUUCUCCCCAUUAAUUUCACAAGAAAAUGGUUUUUAAAACUCCUUAAAAGAGACACUGUGGAACAUGUAGCACAUCUAGUAUGGGCCGGACAGCUGAAUGUCCAUAGCUGGAAGGGGCAAUGAUACAUCAACAUAGCAAUUUAGAGUAGAAGGUGUUUUUAAAAAUACCCAGCCAUGAAUAUAAACAGGUGAACACUCUGCCUCCCAUUUGCCUGGACAGGCUGCCAUCCCAGCUCUGCUAAGGGUUCCAGCAUUGCUAACGUUAGUGGAGCUGAAAAGGAGAAAUGAGAUUCUCAAGUCAGACUGCGGAGAGUCUUUGUUCUCAGACCGCAGAUGGAACACGCAGUGUGGGUUUUUGCAACUGAGAUUUUUUGCUUUAGGUCCAUUAAUAGAUGGAUUUAGCUUUGUGUUUACAUUGCAUGUGUCUUUCCUAGAUUUCUCCUUGCAGGGUGUAAUGUUUGCCAUUGUUAAUAUUUGCAAAUACGAAGUGAUGUUCUUACUACAUUAAAGAUGUGCUCUGGACCUACAGGAUUCUAAUUAAGGCCUGGCAGUGUGGGUCUGGGUAUUAAAGCCUAUGGAACUCACUCUUGCGCUAACAGGAAGCAUUUCAUGAAGUCUGGGUGAGCAAGCAUAGGACCAGGACAGAGAAGCAAUACUGCUAACACCAGAGCUGGUUGAAACUUUAAAAAUCAAAAGGUCAGGGAAAAACUGUUGGGGCGGGGGGAAAAGGUUGCCAUUUUCCAACUACUGUCUUCCCUUUGACGAUCUCACAAGGCUUUAAUAUGUUUGAAAAGCUUCUAACAGCCCUGUGAAGUACACCACUGUGCAGAUGGGCAAUCUACAGCACAGAAAAAUGAAGUUACUUGCUCAAGUUCACACAGUGAGUCAUUACAGCUCUGGGAUGUGUGCAGCUCCUCCCCUGGCAGUCUAUAAUCAGGCCACAAGAAUUCUUACUUCUAGUUCUUGGCUCUAACUGAGAGAGGAUACUUCUCAAUGCACUAGGGAUGUUUUUCUAGAACUGCUAAUGUUUACAUUUAUAAAAGCACAUAAUGCCAUGCAAUGGUCCUGCAACACCUGUGCCAAAAGCUGGGUUGCAAAAGCACAAUGUUUCGUGUAAGCACUGCUGCCUGUGUGUUGUGUUGUGCCACUCCAGCUUAUGACAUUUUUUCCCCUUAAAAUUAAGAAAGGAAAGCCAGCUCCUAUCAAAGCCCAGGAAACCCCAGCAUCAGCCUUGCCAGUUCAGGUGUCCAGUCUCACGAUAGAAGACGAGACUUAUACUUUUAGCCAAUGGACGUUUCUGCUUUAUGCCUGGAGAGUUCUUUCCAUGAACUUUUAUAAUUUGCAGUUGUGAAUCAGGAGGAAAUAGACCACAGCUCUUCUGUGUUUUUUCACCAGCCAGUUGCAUGUCUAAACAUGCUAAUAUGCUAUUUUGUAAAUGAGAGUGAUUUACAUCUAAGUAAAUAACUUCCAGCCUAUGUGAUUCUACCAUA